rnacentral:tRNA from 1 species
CGCUCGUUAGCUCAGAGGUCAGAGCAAUGCUGGUUGCUGUCACCAACCAGCAGGUUCACCGGUUCGAAUCCGGUACGAGCGU